rnacentral:rRNA from 1 species
CCUACGGGCGGCUGCAGUGGGGAAUAUUGGACAAUGGGGGCAACCCUGAUCCAGCCAUGCCGCGUGUGUGAAGAAGGCCCUCGGGUUGUAAAGCACUUUCAGUGAGGAAGAACGCCUGGUGGUUAAUACCCAUCAGGAAAGACAUCACUCACAGAAGAAGCACCGGCUAACUCCGUGCCAGCAGCCGCGGUAAUACGGAGGGUGCGAGCGUUAAUCGGAAUUACUGGGCGUAAAGCGCGCGUAGGUGGCUUGAUAAGCCGGUUGUGAAAGCCCCGGGCUCAACCUGGGAACGGCAUCCGGAACUGUCAAGCUAGAGUACAGGAGAGGAAGGUGGAAUUCCCGGUGUAGCGGUGAAAUGCGUAGGGAUCGGGAGGAAUACCAGUGGCGAAGGCGGCCUUCUGGACUGACACUGACACUGAGGUGCGAAAGCGUGGGUAGCAAACAGGAUUAGAUACCCUUGUAGUC